rnacentral:rRNA from 1 species
AAAGGGCGAGCGGUAGAGAGAAGCUUGCUUCUCCUGAGAGCGGCGGACGGGUGAGUAAUGCCUAGGAAUCUGCCUGGUAGUGGGGGAUAACGCUCGGAAACGGACGCUAAUACCGCAUACGUCCUACGGGAGAAAGCAGGGGACCUUCGGGCCCUUGCCGCUAUCCAGAUGAGCCCUAGGUCGGAUUAAGCUAGUUGGUGAGGUAAUGGCUCACCAAGGCGACGAUCCCGUAACUGGUCUGAGAGGAUGAUCAGUCACACUGGAACUGAGACACGGUCCAGACUCCUACGGGAGGCAGCAGUGGGGAAUAUUGGACAAUGGGCGAAAGCCUGAUCCAGCCAUGCCGCGUGUGUGAAGAAGGUCUUCGGAUUAUAAAGCACUUUAAGUUGGGAGGAAGGGCAUUAACCUAAUACGUUGGUGUCUUGACGUUACCGACAGAAUAAGCACCGGCUAACUCUGUGCCAGCAGCCGCGGUAAUACAGAGGGUGCAAGCGUUAAUCGGAAUUACUGGGCCGUAAAAGCGCGCGUAGGUGGCUCGUUAAGUUGGAUGUGAAAUCCCCGGGCUCAACCUGGGGAACUGCAUUCAAAACUGACGAGCUAGAGUAUGGUAAGAGGGUGGUUGGAAUUUUCCUGUGUAGCAGUGAAAUGCGUAGAGAUGUGGAAGGAAUACCCGAUUGGCGAAGGCAGCCCCCUGGGAUAACACUGACGCUCAUGCACGAAAGCGUGGGGAGCAAACAGGAUUAGAUACCCUGGUAGUCCACGCCGUAAACGAUGUCAACUAGCCGUUGGGAGCCUUGAGCUCUUAGUGGCGCAGCUAACGCAUUAAGUUGUCCACCUGGGGAGUACGGCCGCAAGGUUAAAACUCAAAUGAAUUGACGG